GCUCAGGCGAACGCUGGCGGCGUGCCUAAUCCUGCAAGUCGAGCGGACAGAAGGGAGCUUGCUCCCGGAUGUUAGCGGCGGACGGGUGAGUAACACGUGGGUAACCUGCCUGUAAGACUGGGAUAACUCCGGGAAACCGGAGCUAAUACCGGAUAGUUCCUUGAACCGCAUGGUUCAAGGAUGAAAGACGGUUUCGGCUGUCACUUACAGAUGGACCCGCGGCGCAUUAGCUAGUUGGUGGGGUAAUGGCUCACCAAGGCGACGAUGCGUAGCCGACCUGAGAGGGUGAUCGGCCACACUGGGACUGAGACACGGCCCAGACUCCUACGGGAGGCAGCAGUAGGGAAUCUUCCGCAAUGGACGAAAGUCUGACGGAGCAACGCCGCGUGAGUGAUGAAGGUUUUCGGAUCGUAAAGCUCUGUUGUUAGGGAAGAACAAGUGCGAGAGUAACUGCUCGCACCUUGACGGUACCUAACCAGAAAGCCACGGCUAACUACGUGCCAGCAGCCGCGGUAAUACGUAGGUGGCAAGCGUUGUCCGGAAUUAUUGGGCGUAAAGGGCUCGCAGGCGGUUUCUUAAGUCUGAUGUGAAAGCCCCCGGCUCAACCGGGGAGGGUCAUUGGAAACUGGGAAACUUGAGUGCAGAAGAGGAGAGUGGAAUUCCACGUGUAGCGGUGAAAUGCGUAGAGAUGUGGAGGAACACCAGUGGCGAAGGCGACUCUCUGGUCUGUAACUGACGCUGAGGAGCGAAAGCGUGGGGAGCGAACAGGAUUAGAUACCCUGGUAGUCCACGCCGUAAACGAUGAGUGCUAAGUGUUAGGGGGUUUCCGCCCCUUAGUGCUGCAGCUAACGCAUUAAGCACUCCGCCUGGGGAGUACGGUCGCAAGACUGAAACUCAAAGGAAUUGACGGGGGCCCGCACAAGCGGUGGAGCAUGUGGUUUAAUUCGAAGCAACGCGAAGAACCUUACCAGGUCUUGACAUCCUCUGACAACCCUAGAGAUAGGGCUUUCCCUUCGGGGACAGAGUGACAGGUGGUGCAUGGUUGUCGUCAGCUCGUGUCGUGAGAUGUUGGGUUAAGUCCCGCAACGAGCGCAACCCUUGAUCUUAGUUGCCAGCAUUCAGUUGGGCACUCUAAGGUGACUGCCGGUGACAAACCGGAGGAAGGUGGGGAUGACGUCAAAUCAUCAUGCCCCUUAUGACCUGGGCUACACACGUGCUACAAUGGACAGAACAAAGGGCUGCAAGACCGCAAGGUUUAGCCAAUCCCAUAAAUCUGUUCUCAGUUCGGAUCGCAGUCUGCAACUCGACUGCGUGAAGCUGGAAUCGCUAGUAAUCGCGGAUCAGCAUGCCGCGGUGAAUACGUUCCCGGGCCUUGUACACACCGCCCGUCACACCACGAGAGUUUGCAACACCCGAAGUCGGUGAGGUAACCUUUAUGGAGCCAGCCGCCGAAGGUGGGGCAGAUGAUUGGGGUGAAGUCGU
rnacentral:rRNA from 1 species